rnacentral:misc_RNA from 1 species
GCAAACUUGGUCAUUUAGAGGAAGUAAAAGUCGUAACAAGGUUUCCGUAGGUGAACCUGCGGAAGGAUCAUUACCGUGGUGGGCGGCCCUUUGGGGCAUGUCCCGCCCGAGAUAGAACCCUUGCUUCUGAGUACCGUUUCGUUUCCUCGGCAGGCUCGCCUGCCAACGGGGACCCAAAUCAAACCUUUUCGUAAUGCAGUAACCGUCUUAAAACAAAUAAAUCAAAACUUUCAACAACGGAUCUCUUGGUUCUGGCAUCGAUGAAGAACGCAGC